UACGGAGGGGGCUAGCGUUGUUCGGAAUUACUGGGCGUAAAGCGCACGUAGGCGGCUUGGUAAGUUAGAGGUGAAAGCCUGGAGCUCAACUCCAGAAUUGCCUUUAAGACUGCCGAGCUAGCAGGUGAGAGAGGUGAGUGGAAUUCCGAGUGUAGAGGUGAAAUUCGUAGAUAUUCGGAAGAACAUCAGUGGCGAAGGCGGCCAUCUGGGACAACACUGACGCUGAAGCACGAAAGCGUGGGGAGCAAACAGG
rnacentral:rRNA from 1 species